rnacentral:rRNA from 1 species
GUGAGUAGUUCAGAGUUUGAUCCUGGCUCAGGAUGAACGCUGGCGGCGUGCUUAACACAUGCAAGUCGAGCGAAGCACUCUGAUUACUUCGGUUUGAAGAGUGACUGAGCGGCGGACGGGUGAGUAACGCGUGGGUAACCUGCCUCACACAGGGGGAUAACAGUUAGAAAUGACUGCUAAUACCGCAUAAGACCACAGCACCGCAUGGUGCAGGGGUAAAAACUCCGGUGGUGUGAGAUGGACCCGCGUCUGAUUAGUUAGUUGGUGGGGUAACGGCCUACCAAGGCGACGAUCAGUAGCCGACCUGAGAGGGUGACCGGCCACAUUGGGACUGAGACACGGCCCAA